CAGGAAGCAGCUCUCCUGGAUCUGGAGCUGCCUGAGGCUGGAAUAUUUCAGACAUCACAUAGUUAGUCAUGUUUUAAUAAUAAUCAAUAAUCAAUAUCAGUCAAUAACAAAUUGGUACUAUAGUUACUCAAAUUGAAAAGUUUACUUCAUAUGCAAGGGAUCAAAUACUUGUGAUCACUUAGCUGGGAAAAUUGGGGGAUCAAAUGGGUUCCCUCGCACAAGUUUCUUCACAUUAAUUUAGUAAAUCAUUGUACAACAUCAUACCAUAACACACCAUAAACAAAUGAAAAACUAAAGCACUCACCUCCUCUUUCACCCCCGUGAGCCAUCGACAUCCUCUUCCAAACUGCAAUAAAAACAAUAACUUACAAAAUACAAUAUAUAUAAAAAAAGAAUGAAAUACAACUCUCCUCAGAAAUAAUCCUCCAAAAAAAAAAAAAGAAUAAGAA